UGAACGCUGGCGGCGUGCUUAACACAUGCAAGUCGAACGAAGACAUCUGAGUGCUUGCACUUGGAUGGACUGAGUGGCGGACGGGUGAGUAACGCGUGGGUAACCUGCCUUAUACAGGGGGAUAACAGUUGGAAACGACUGCUAAUACCGCAUAAGCGCACGGUAUCGCAUGAUACAGUGUGAAAAUGCUUCCGCUUGAAGAUGAGCUUGCGUCUGAUUAGCUAGUUGGUGAGGGUAAAGGCCCACCAAGGCGACGAUCAGUAGCCGGUCUGAGAGGAUGAACGGCCACAUUGGGACUGAGACACGGCCCAGACUCCUACGGGAGGCAGCAGUGGGGAAUCUUCCGCAAUGGGCGAAAGCCUGACGGAGCAACGCCGCGUGAACGAUGAAGGUCUUAGGAUCGUAAAGUUCUGUUGUUAGGGACGAAGGGCAAGGGUUAUAAUACAGCCUUUGUUUGACGGUACCUAACGAGGAAGCCACGGCUAACUACGUG
rnacentral:rRNA from 1 species